GACGAACGCUGGCGGCGUGCUUAACACAUGCAAGUCGAACGGAAAGGCCUCUUUCGGGGGGUACUCGAGUGGCGAACGGGUGAGUAACACGUGAGUAACCUGCCCUUGACUUUGGGAUAACUUCAGGAAACUGGGGCUAAUACCGGAUAGGAGCUCCUGCUGCAUGGUGGGGGUUGGAAAGUUUCGGCGGUUGGGGAUUGACUCGCGGCUUAUCAGCUUGUUGGUGGGGUAGUGGCUUACCAAGGCUUUGACGGGUAGCCGGCCUGAGAGGGUGACCGGCCACAUUGGGACUGAGAUACGGCCCAGACUCCUACGGGAGGCAGAAGUGGGGAAUAUUGCACAAUGGGUGGAAGCCUGAUGCAGCAACGCCGUGUGCGGGAUGACGGCCUUCGUGUUGUAAACCGCUUUCGCUCAUGACGAAGCUUUGUGUGACGGUAGUGGGUAAAGAAGCACCGGCUAACUACGUG
rnacentral:rRNA from 1 species